CACGGAGGGGGCAAGCGUUGUCCGGAAUCAUUGGGCGUAAAGAGCUCGUAGGCGGCUCAGUAAGUCGGGUGUGAAACCCUCAGGCUCAACCUGGGGACGCCACCCGAUACUGCUGUGGCUAGAGUCCAGUAGGGGAGUGUGGAAUUCCCGGUGUAGCGGUGAAAUGCGCAGAUAUCGGGAGGAACACCAGCGGCGAAGGCGGCACUCUGGGCUGGUACUGACGCUGAGGAGCGAAAGCCAGGGGAGCAAACGGG
rnacentral:rRNA from 1 species